GAUGAACGCUGGCGGCGUGCCUAAUACAUGCCAGUCGAACGCUUCACUUCGGUGAAGAGUGGCGAACGGGUGAGUAAUACAUAAGUAACCUGGCAUCUACAGGGGGAUAACUGAUGGAAACGUCAGCUAAGACCGCAUAGGUGUAGAGAUCGCAUGAACUCUAUAUGAAAAGUGCUACGGGACUGGUAGAUGAUGGACUUAUGGCGCAUUAGCUUGUUGGUAGGGUAACGGCCUACCAAGGCGACGAUGCGUAGCCGACCUGAGAGGGUGACCGGCCACACUGGGACUGAGACACGGCCCAGACUCCUACGGGAGGCAGCAGUAGGGAAUUUUCGGCAAUGGGGGAAACCCUGACCGAGCAACGCCGCGUGAAGGAAGAAGUAAUUCGGUAUGUAAACUUCUGUCAUAGAGGAAGAACGGGGGAUAUAGGGAAUGAUAUCCAAGUGACGGUACUCUAUAAGAAAGCCACGGCUAACUACGUG
rnacentral:rRNA from 1 species